rnacentral:misc_RNA from 1 species
GAUGAAGAACGUAGCGAAAUGCGAUAAGUAAUGUGAAUUGCAGAAUUCAGUGAAUCAUCGAAUCUUUGAACGCACAUUGCGCCCGCCAGUAUUCUGGCGGGCAUGCCUGUUCGAGCGUCAUUUCAACCAUCAAGCCCCAGGCUUGUGUUGGGGACCUGCGGCUGCCGCAGGCCCUGAAAACCAGUGGCGGGCUCGCUGUCACACCGGGCGUAGUAGAUUUUAUCUCGCUCAGGGCGUGCUGCGGGUUCCGGCCGUUAAAAAGCCUUUUUUACCCAAGGUUGACCUCGUAUCAGGUAGGAAUACCCGCUGAACUUAAGCAUAUCAAUAAGCGGAGGA